rnacentral:rRNA from 1 species
UCGAGAAUCUUCCACAAUGGACGAAAGUCUGAUGGAGCGACGCCGCGUGAUUGAUGAAGCUCUUCGGAGCGUAAAGAUCUUUUAUGAGGGAAGAAGUUUAUUGACGGUACCUCAUGAAUAAGGGGCUCCUAAUCUCGUGCCAGCAGGAGCGGUAAUACGAGAGCCCCGAGCGUUAUCCGGAUUUAUUGGGCGUAAAGAGUGAAAAGGUGGUGUUAUUAGUCGAGUGUUAAAGACCCAAGCUCAACUUGGG